GUAGAUUAGCCAGAUCGGCAGAGCGGGGCAGCCAUUUAAAUUUAAAUGGCUGCCCCGCUCUGCCGAUCUGGCUAAUCUACA
rnacentral:pre_miRNA from 1 species